GACGAACGCUGGCGGCGUGCUUAACACAUGCAAGUCGAACGGUAAGGCCCUUCGGGGUACACGAGUGGCGAACGGGUGAGUAACACGUGGGUGAUCUACCCUGCACUUCGGGAUAAGCCUGGGAAACUGGGUCUAAUACCGGAUAGGACCCUGGGAUGCAUGUCCUGGGGUGGAAAGCUUUUGCGGUGUGGGAUGGGCCCGCGGCCUAUCAGCUUGUUGGUGGGGUGAUGGCCUACCAAGGCGACGACGGGUAGCCGGCCUGAGAGGGUGACCGGCCACACUGGGACUGAGAUACGGCCCAGACUCCUACGGGAGGCAGCGGUGGGGAAUAUUGCACAAUGGGCGCAAGCCUGAUGCAGCGACGCCGCGUGAGGGAUGACGGCCUUCGGGUUGUAAACCUCUUUCAGCACCGACGAAGCGCAAGUGACGGUAGGUGCAGAAGAAGGACCGGCCAACUACGUGCCAGCCGCCGCGGUAA
rnacentral:rRNA from 1 species